GUCAUAAUCCAAAGUCUCACUAUUUCUUUGUAGGUUAUAAAUAGAUGCCUCUUUUGGUUUUGGGGAGUUAGACUUCUUGGAUUCUUAUUAUUGGAGGCUCAGUGAAGUACUUCUCUAAAGUAAAGUUAAACGUUGCUAGUUUAGGAUUGAAUCUUGCAGGGAAAAUCCUAUGUGUGAAAGCAAACCACCUUAUUGUCUUUUAAACACUGUAAUUGUUCGAAGCUAUUCAGAGGUUAUACCAUAGCUUAGUCAAAUUUUUUAAGUUUUCUUAGAAAACUUUCUAAAGUGUGUUUCUAAGCAUGAAUCUGCUGUGUGCAUACGCUCUAGGUAAAUAGUGGCACUUAAGUUCUGCUAUAUUUAUUUCUGAAUUUCCAAAUAAUCUGCUUAAAGUAGUGUUUUUCACUCACACACAGACUUUUGGUAUAAAGAGGAAGAGAAUCAGAAGGCAGGAGCCACUGUUUCUCUGAGACUCUAGGUCGCCAUGAUUUAUUCCAAGAAGCACCUCAUGCAUUUCCCUGGAUGAACUGACAACAGGAGUUUUACAGUUGUUCGGUGGGAUCAAGGCUUUGCACUAAACCACUGCCUGCCAUUCAAUUACGCAAUGUCGGCAGCAGAAAACCCCAGCCUUUUCUGCACAUAUGACUUGCCAUCACCUUUGCUUUUACUGGUUUGUAAAAGAAGUGAAAUAUGCAUGCCUGAGCAUCCAGCUGUUACUGUUGGCAAGCCUCCAGUACCAGAGGUAUAGCAUUCCAGGGUUACAAAUUAACACCAUCAUAGUGGGAAAGUGGUUGGUUUCUUUUUUUAUUCCCAGUUUCUGCAAGCGUAGCACAGCAUGAAAGUAUGUGUUUGUUCUCUCUCCUGGAUGGCAGGACUGACCUUCAACCAACUAUUUAAGAAACUCUGCAGAGCAUGACGUGCUGCACGCUGCAUAAUUCAACGGGAAGGAAACCUACUGCUACAGGAGGUCAUCAAGAAAGUAAGAUGAAGCAGCACUCUGAAAGGAACAGCAGCAGGACAUGGCUCAAAAUAUUAUCAAAGGAAGAACACUGUUUUCUUAAAGGGCAGCAGUCUCCAUUGUGAAGGGGGAAAAAAGAAAAAGACCACCUUUCUGUGAGAACUCUGUGGGAGUGGAGUAGUUACAUUGAGGGGUUUCUUUCAUGUUGAUGUACUUCUACCCUAUAACCCUCUUGAUGCCGCACUAAAGUUCUGGCAGUAGAAAGAGGCACUUUGGAUACACUGUGAUGUGACAUGAUCUUUCCUAGAGAUAACUUCUUCUGAAGUGGGAUUAGAGCUGAAGAAAGAAAAGGAAUGGCAAGGAACUAAAAAUUUCUAGAAAGCAUCAUCCCAGUUUCUAUGGAAGAAGGAUUUUAAAAAGCUGCCUAGAAAUUGAGAGUUUCUCUCCAAAGUAUCAGUCUGCAACUUCAGAUUUCAGAAAAAUGAGAGACACCAGGAAAACUGAAAUACUAAAGUAUUAUUGGAACGUUUAGCCUGACCUCUGUAGUAACUGGUCCUUAUUUUUUGCCAAGAUACUCUGUACUGAAUCCAAAAAUAUUCCUGGAUAAACCACGUCUUCCAGAAAAGCAGCAGUGUUGUGCAGUGUUUUCUCCUUGUGAAGGUACUUAUGCACUACCUGAAUUACCACAAACGGUGACAGGGCAGAGGGAAGAAAAAGCCAUUUGUGAGAUUUCUCACCAUAAGAAGUUACUUUGGAUUUUGGACUUUGCCAUGUCUGUCAGAAGAUGCAACUAAUUACCCACCAACAUAUUUGACAUGAAUCUCAGGAGACCAGAGGAAAUUUUUCAGACUGAAAUUCGAAUUCGCUUGUGCUAGGAAUAAUGUUUUGGCUGACAAAAGGCUGACCAAAGGCUGACCAAAGACUGACGUAGUGCUGCAUUAUUAAUCACAGAAACUAGGUCAGGAAUGUGUAUCAGAGUAAUUAGCUCCAAUAUUACAUACAUCUACAUUCAUGAUGUGCCAAUGUCUGCAAUGCAAGGUCAUUUAAAGCACAGGAAGGACGUAAGUGAAAAUCACUGCUCAACUAAGCAUGUGUGUGUGGGAACACACAUGGGUAGGAGAAGAAGGCUGAUGGUGAGCUGAAGACGAAAAUUCAUUUUGGGCUAAACAAAAGUCCUUGUAUGCAUUGAAAUGGAGCAUUUUCUUUGAACUUUGUUUAAAAAGGUCUUAGGCAUUUUUUUCUAUUUAAAAUUUUAAAAGUUUCCUUACAGUGUUCAUGUUUCACCUUUUUUUUUUUUUGUUGAUGUUUAUUUUUUAACAAAUCCACUUACUUCCACGUCGAUUCAAAGUCUAAUUUUUUUUCAUUGAGUAGAAUCUAUUAUUUCAGCAGAAAGCUUCUUCCUAAUUUUUUUCUUUUUUCUCUCUCCUCCAGGAUAUGUAAAAUUGCAGAUGCAUGUACCUGUAAAAAGUUCUAGGGAAUUCAGAAUUUACUACUUGACAGACUUCAUUAAUCACUUCAUAAAGACCUCUUAACAUUAGUUAUUCUUAAAUUUAGCAUUAACUCCAGGAUGAAUUUUUUAUUUUUUUUUUUAAAUCCAUUUGGCCCUAUUCUUAGCUUUUUUUUUUUAUCCUUGAACAUGGAAUGAUCCUCUUGAUAUUGUAUUAAGUAACUAAAAUCAGCUUCCCAAGGUGUGGAAGGCCCUCUAUGUCCUAGAUUUGAAAAAAUGUUUCCUCUAAGUAAUGGUGGGGGAAAUAUUCUAAACUAUAUUUGCGAAGGUUGGGUAUUAGCACGGAACAACAUUUCUGUUUCAGAAUGUUAGCUUUUUUAAAAAAACUAAGUUUAUCAAGCCACAUGAACAAGUACUGUUUUAUUGCCUAUAGCCUGAUUCACCUCUCAUUUACUCCAGAUUGCUCUAGCUAAAAUGAAGCUGUUCUUGUUCUCAUUUUAAUGAAAAACUCCAAGCCAGAUACAUGUGUUCAAGAGGUCUAACUCUGAAGUGAAAGGACAGGACAGAAUGCUUAUUGAUUCACAUUACAGCAGCAGAUGAUGCUAUUGGCUUUCCCCAUGUACAUUUCAGUGUUGUCUAUGGACUACCAGCUAUCAAGUUAAGUUACUGCAGUUCCAGUACCUGGUGGUGCUUCUGACUAUUUGGAGGCAAAACAAGAUUUAGAAACAUACAGUAAGCUGGAUAUUUUGAAACAAUAUAUAUUACAACAUAUAUAUAUGGAUAUUUUAACACUAGAAAUUGCCAGCUUUCACGAAUAUUAAUAAAAAGGUUAAGCAUGUGGAGAUGUUCACACAUUUGUUAAAAUUGUGUUUGCCCUCAGUCUCUCCACAGUUAUUAUCCUAUCCUUUAUUCGGGCUAUGAGCAGAACUACUCUUCACCACCCCUCCCCUGAAAAAAAAAACCCAAACCAAAACAAACAACCCACAAGAAGACAAACACAAAACAAACAAAUUAAAAAAAGAAAAACCCACAUCAUCUUUAAACUCAGGGCCACUUAGGUAGAUGUGACUUUUUUUUACAUUUGAUAGCCAUUAAGACUUUAUUAGCUUUGUGCUAUUAUGAAAUUCACUGAAAUUAAAGGGUUUAUUUCAAAAUUUUCAGUCAGCUUUUAACGAAACUCUUUGAUUAGUUUUAUUUUUAUUUCCUUCAUAAUAUUCAGUGAUGUCUGUAUUUCUUAUGUUUGAGCCUUUAAUGUAUUCUGAGUCCUACUACUGUUGAAUAUCCUAUGAGUCCGAAUGAAAUCUGAGACUGAAAAGGCAACUUGUGAUGUCUGAAUUGCAACAGCAAAAAAAAAAUCUUUCAGUUCUCAUGACGGCUAUUUUGAAAUAUGGAUAACAGCUUCCAUGGAAAAUACUAAAUAUCUGGUUAAUAAGGCUGUAGAUCAACUGACAGUAACUACUGGUUAUAAAGAUAAUAGUAAACGUUUUUCUGAGUGGCAUUCUAGUCCUUUAUGUUUUACCUUCGAUUGCUUUAUCUCUGGUCUUCAACAUUUGCAUGUAAAAUGUCAAAUAUGUUAAUACUUGAAAAGCAGAAAAACCCUUACCAAUCCCCCUUAUAAAAAUACUUUCUGUUAUAGUGUAUUUACCUUGAACCUUGUUUCUUUCAGCAUUUAUCUUCUUGAAUAUGUUGGAAUCAAUAUUGCAAAUCACAUUCACACAGCUCAUCAGAAAUCACUGGAUUUAGCAAUUAUAAUUUUAAAUAAAAUGACAUUUUCUCCUUAAUGAUGAAGCAAUACAUAGUCAUUAGAAUGCAGCUUAUGUAAUUGCUGGGUUGCACCCAGAAUAUAAAACCAUCAUCUUGCCUUCUAUGACAUCUAUGAUGCCUUUUUACAGUACACUAUGGAAUUCAGUGCAGUAAUGUAGUAUAAAUGUGCUGCUUCUCACUUGUUUCAUGUUUUUAUAUACAUUUAUACUAGAAAUUUGCACUGAUGGAACUGGAGCUGUCAGCAUUAUGAUCUUCAUUUGCAUUUUCUUUGACAGUUUCCUUGUCAAAUUUGAAGGAAGUAUUUAUAUACCAUUUGUUGUCCCAGGUAUACUUCACUGAAAUAGUCAACCAUUGGUGAGUUAGGGAAAUACUACAUGUUAUUAGCAUUGAACUGUCAGCAGCAAAUCAACAUUUUAGUUUGCUUGCUUUCCAAGCUGAUAUCUUGAUCUCUGACACAGUGGGGAGAGGAAAAGAUGCAGGUCAAUACAGUGUUUGAGGUGAUAUGAGAUCUCUGUUCAAGGCACUAAAGUGACUUUCUUCAGACCUCAGGGACGUGCAACAUAGCCUAGGGAAUGGCAGGAAGGCAUGGUGAGGGUUUGGGGCACAUGGUACUCAGAUGACUGGAAGUGCAUGGAGGAUGACAGAGGUAUAACCUGGUGCCAUCUCAUCCAUUCAUCCCCUUUUAUGAUUAACUGAAAUAAAUGAUUCCUAGUGCUGAACCUGGUCUUAAUCUUCGAAAGAACUGCUUGGAGCAGCCCAAAACAAAACUGGAGGCAAAUAACCAACUAAGCAAUGUGGAGCUCCCUCUAGCCCAUUCUCCUCUCUUAUUUAUCAGCGUAGACUCCUUCAAAGUUUGUUGGCGAUGCUCUGGUGAGAAAUCAGAACUGAAGGUGACAUCUGCUACCUUUUCAUAUAUUCUUCACAUUUUACAAAUUUGGUGAGAUGAGAAUUUCAAUCUUGUUAAGGAAGCUUUGCAGAAUGUACUGCUUUAUUUCCAGUAAUAUAAUGUUAUUUUAGAUCCAACCUGGAUAAGGUUGUGUGAUGAGAGUUUGAAGGCCUUAUGAAUUACCAGACAAAUGAAACUCUUGGAUGUGAAAAGAGUACUGUCAAUGUGAGGCCUUACUAGAUACUUGGAAAAUGUACAGCAAGCUUGCUGAAAUGGACCAGAGAGAAAACCUAAAAGAGUUGAUCUUCAAAAAAGCUGAAUGCUUUUUCUAGCUAACAGAGUUGAGUUUAUUCUGUUCUUGUAAAUCUAAUACAUUGCUUCUGUUUGUUGAAAAAGAUGAGCUAAAAGAAGAUAACUUUUCUUCAUCCAGCUUCCUGCAAAUGCCAUGUUCCUGCACCAUAUUUAGGUCCAAAUUACUGUGGAUUUUGUGAAAGGAAGAAUGAGCAACUAUUUUUCCUGACAUCAGUGUUUUAUGAUUACUGAGCUAUUUAGAAAUAUUUGACAUUGUACUGAUUUUCUCUCUCAAAAUAAACUUUUCUGAUUACCCUUACAUUUCAGUGAUUUCUUUUGUGCAGUAGUGAAUCUGCAGCUUGUGAGGUAACUGGCAAAAAGUCUGAUCCAUCAGCAUUUUUGUUUGCUUUCUUGACUUUGUAGUGGCACAGCAACAAUGAAGAAGCAAUCAUUCAUCAUCCAGCCAAACAAAAUAAAGAUUCGAAAGUGGAAAUAA